CACGUAGGGCGCAAGCGUUGUCCGGAAUUAUUGGGCGUAAAGAGCUCGUAGGUGGUUUGUUACGUCUGCUGUGAAAACCUAGGGCUUAACCCUGGGCCUGCAGUGGAUACGGGCAGACUAGAGGUAGGUAGGGGAGAAUGGAAUUCCUGGUGUAGCGGUGAAAUGCGCAGAUAUCAGGAGGAACACCGGUGGCGAAGGCGGUUCUCUGGGCCUUACCUGACACUGAGGAGCGAAAGCGUGGGGAGCGAACAGG
rnacentral:rRNA from 1 species